rnacentral:rRNA from 1 species
GUUGACCUCGGAUCAGAUAGGGAUACCCGCUGAACUUAAGCAUAUCAAUAAGCGGAGGAAAAGAAACCAACGGAUUGCCUCAGUAACGGCGAGUGAAGCGGCAACAGCUCAAAUUUGAAAUCUGGCUCCUGGGGGGUCCGAGUUGUAAUUUGCAGAGGGUGUUUCGGGCGCGGUGCCGGUCUAAGUCCCUUGGAACAGGGCGUCAUAGAGGGUGAGAAUCCCGUCUGCGACUCGGCCGCCAACCCCAUGUGAAACCCCUUCGACGAGUCGAGUUGUUUGGGAAUGCAGCUCAAAAUGGGUGGUAAAUUUCAUCUAAAGCUAAAUACCGGCCAGAGACCGAUAGCGCACAAGUAGAGUGAUCGAAAGAUGAAAAGCACUUUGGAAAGAGAGUUAAACAGUACGUGAAAUUGUUGAAAGGGAAGCGCUUGCGACCAGACCUGUUCCCGGGCGAUCAUCCGUCAUUCGUGGCGGUGCACUCGCCCGGACGCAGGCCAGCAUCGGUUGGGGCGGCGGGACAAAGCGCCUGGGAAUGUAGCUUCUCUCGGGGAGCCUUAUAGCCCAGGUGGCCAUGCCGCCCGCCUCGACCGAGGACCGCGCUUCGGCUAGAUGCUGCU